rnacentral:rRNA from 1 species
AUUGAACGCUGGCGGCAGGCCCAACACAUGCAAGUCGAGCGGAUGAAGGGAGCUUGCUCCUGGAUUCAGCGGCGGACGGGUGAGUAAUGCCUAGGAAUCUGCCUGGUAGUGGGGGAUAACGUCCGGAAACGGGCGCUAAUACCGCAUACGUCCUGAGGGAGAAAGUGGGGGAUCUUCGGACCUCACGCUAUCAGAUGAGCCUAGGUCGGAUUAGCUAGUUGGUGGGGUAAAGGCCUACCAAGGCGACGACCCGUAACUGGUCUGAGAGGAUGAUCAGUCACACUGGAACUGAGACACGGUCCAGACUCCUACGGGAGGCAGCAGUGGGGAAUAUUGGACAAUGGGCGAAAGCCUGAUCCAGCCAUGCCGCGUGUGUGAAGAAGGUCUUCGGAUUGUAAAGCACUUUAAGUUGGGAGGAAGGGCAGUAAGUUAAUACCUUGCUGUUUUGACGUUACCAACAGAAUAAGCACCGGCUAACUUCGUG